GAGUUUCAGCCACUUUCCCUGACGCAAGGUCGGGGUCGUUACGAAUAGGACAAAUAUACACCAAGCCUUUGAAGGAUGAGGUUCCAGUUCAGCUCCUACUUCACGACUCUCUUUCCAGAAACUCAUUCUCUCCCUUCUUUCUCCUUCAAACUUCGUUCUACCAUAACUUUCAUUCUACAACUCCAAUUCUUGCGCCGCUUUCGCCUUUAGGAUCAUAUGAACGAGCUCUACAAGAUAAGUGUGGUUUGGGAGAAUGGUGGUCACUAGGCAGCUCAUUGAAGGUUGUGGAUUACUUUGGAGCUGUUAAGAUGACAUGAAAGGAGGAUUCAGACCAAAAUUCAUUCUCCAGCCCGAAGUCAAAAUCUGCGUCUGCUAAGCUCUGCAGGAAAUGUGGCCACAGUGCCAGAAUCCUUGUAGCAUCUAAAAUUUGAUGCCCCAAUUUUAUAUUUUGUUGUUACAUUGGAGGGAUUCGAACCUGAGUAAGGAAUAAUCCAAAGCCUUUCAGGCUC